rnacentral:rRNA from 1 species
CCUACGGGAGGCAGCAGUGGGGAAUAUUGGACAAUGGGCGCAAGCCUGAUCCAGCAAUGCCGCGUGAGUGAUGAAGGCCUUAGGGUCGUAAAGCUCUUUUACCAGGGAUGAUAAUGACAGUACCUGGAGAAUAAGCUCCGGCUAACUCCGUGCCAGCAGCCGCGGUAAUACGGAGGGAGCUAGCGUUGUUCGGAAUUACUGGGCGUAAAGCGUACGUAGGCGGUUAUUCAAGUCAGAGGUGAAAGCCCGGGGCUCAACCCCGGAACGGCCUUUGAAACUAGGUAGCUAGAAUCUUGGAGAGGUCAGUGGAAUUCCGAGUGUAGAGGUGAAAUUCGUAGAUAUUCGGAAGAACACCAGUGGCGAAGGCGACUGACUGGACAAGUAUUGACGCUGAGGUACGAAAGCGUGGGGAGCAAACAGGAUUAGAUACCCUGGUAGUCCACGCCGUAAACGAUGAUAACUAGCUGUCCGGGCACUUGGUGCCUGGGUGGCGCAGCUAACGCAUUAAGUUAUCCGCCUGGGGAGUACGGUCGCAAGAUUAAAACUCAAAAGAUAGUAGGCCGUGAGACGUGCCGAACGGACGACACCGAGGGAGAAGG